CCCCCCCCCCCCCCCCCAUAGGCCCGCCUGACGUGCCCGUGCUGCAACGCGCGCAAGAAGGACGCGGUGCUGACCAAAUGCUUCCACGUCUUCUGCUUCGAGUGCGUCAAGAGCCGCUACGACACCCGCCAGAGGAAGUGCCCCAAAUGCAACGCCGCCUUCGGGGCCCACGACUUCCACCGCGUCUACAUCAGCUGAGCCCCGCGACCCGAACCGCCCCAGAACCCCCCCUUAACCCCCCCAUAACCCCCCCAUAACCACCCCAUAACCCCCCAUAACCCCCCCUUAAGUGACCCACGAGUUGGGGUGGGGGGACGAAGGGGGACCCAUAACCCCCCCAUAACCCCCCCAUAACCCCUCCAUAACCCCCCCCCUGUGAAGCGACCCACGAGUCGGGGUGGGGGUACGAAGGGGGACCCAUAACCCCCACAUAUCCCCCCCAUAACCCCAUAACCCCCCCCCUUAAGUGACCCACGAGUUGGGGGGGAGGAUGAAGGGGGACCCAUAACCCCCCCACAACCCCCCCAUAACCCCAUAACCCCCCCCUUAAGCGACCCACGAGUUGGGGUGGGGGGACGAAGGGGGACCCAUAACCCCCCCAUAACCCCCCCAUAACCCCCCCAUAAACCCAUAACCCCCCCCCCUUAAGCGACCCACGAGUCAGGAUGGGGGGAUGAAGAGGGACCCAUAACCCCCCCAUAACCCUUCCAUGAAGCGACCCACGAUUGGGGGAGGGGGGACGAAGGGGGACCCAUAACCCCCCCACAACCCCCCCAUAACCCCAUAACCCCCCCAUGAAGCGACCCACGAGUUGGGGUGGGGGGACGAAGGGGGACCCAUAACCCCCCCAUAACCCCCCCCCUUAAGUGACCCACGAGUUGGGGUGGGGGGACGAAGGGGGACCCAUAACCCCCCCAUAACCCCAUAACCCCCCCACACACCCCAUAACCCCCCCAUAACCCCCCCUUAAGUGACCCACAAGUUGGGAUGGGGGGACGAAGGGGGACCCAUAACCCCCCCAUAACCCCCCCCAUUAAGCGACCCACGAGUUGGGAUGGGGGGAUGAAGGGGGACCCAUAACCCCCCCAUAACCCCCCCAUAACCCCAUAACCCCCCCCUUAAGCGACCCAGGAGUUGGGGUGGGGGGAUGAAGGGGGACCCAUAACCCCCCCGUAACCCUCCCCCAUUACACGACCCACAAGUUGGGAUGGGGGGACGAAGGGGGACCCAUAACCCCCCAUAACCCCAUAACCCCCCCCAUGAAGCGACCCACAAGUUGGGAUGGGGGGAUGAUGGGGGGGUGGGAGAUGAUGGGGGGUGGGGGAUUGGGGGGGGGGAUUGGUUGGGUUGAGGCAAUGGGGGAAGGCCAUAGGGAUCCCUGCUUGUCCCCAUAGCUGCCCCAUAGCUGCCCCAUGGGUGCCCCAUGGCCAACGUUGGGUCAACCCAAUGGGGGAAGGCCAUCAGUCCCAUUGUUUAUCUGUUAAGGAGAGCCCAUAGCAGCCCCUGGUUGUCUUUGAGGUGUCCCCAUAGCACCCAUAGCUGCCCCAUGGCCCUCGUUGGGUCUUGGGUUGGGUUGAGGCAAUGGGGGAAGGCCAUCAGUCCUAUUGUUUGUGUGUUGAUGGAACCCCAUAGUGAUCCCUGGUUGUCCCCAUAGCUGCCCCAUAGCUGCCCUAUAGCAUCUCUCUGUGCCCCAUAGGUGUCCCACAGCUGCCCCAUGGCCAACGUUGGGUUGAGUCAAUGGGGGAAGGCCAUCAGUCCGGUUGUUUUGUGUUGGAGAGCCCCAUAGCGAUCCCUGGUUGUCCCCAUAGCUGCCCCAUAGCUGCCCCAUAGCAUCCCUGUGUGCCCCAUAGCUGCCCCAUGGCCAACGUUGGGUCAACCCAAUGGGGGAAGGCCAUCAAUCCUAUUGUUUGUGUGUUGAUGAAACCCCAUAGCAACCCCUGGUUGUCCCCAUAGCUGCCCCAUAGCAUCUCUCUGUGCCCCAUAGCAUCCCUGUGUGCCCCACAGCUGCCCCAUGGCCAAUGUUGGGUCGAGUCAAUGGGGGAAGGCCAUCAGUCCUAUUGUUUGUGUGUUGAUGAAACCCCCAUAGCGACCCCUGGUUGUCCCCAUAGCACCCAUGGGUGCCCCCUAGUGCCCCUGUGUGCCCCAUAGCACCCCUGUGUGCCCCACAGGAGCCCCCCCCCCCCCCACCCCCCCCCCAAUAAAGUGCUUUAAUCCGUUUCC
rnacentral:lncRNA from 1 species